AUUGAACGCUGGCGACAUGCCUUACACAUGCAAGUCGAACGGCCGCACGGGUGCUUGCCCCUGGUGGCGAGUGGCGAACGGGUGAGUAAUACAUCGGAACAUGUCCUGUAGUGGGGGAUAGCCCGGCGAAAGCCGGAUUAAUACCGCAUACGAUCUACGGAUGAAAGCGGGGGACCUUCGGGCCUCGCGCUAUAGGGUUGGCCGAUGGCUGAUUAGCUAGUUGGUGGGGUAAAGGCCUACCAAGGCGACGAUCAGUAGCUGGUCUGAGAGGACGACCAGUCACACUGGGACUGAGACACGGCCCAGACUCCUACGGGAGGCAGCAGUGGGGAAUUUUGGACAAUGGGCGAAAGCCUGAUCCAGCAAUGCCGCGUGUGUGAAGAAGGCCUUCGGGUUGUAAAGCACUUUUGUCCGGAAAGAAAUCCUUGGCCCUAAUACGGUCGGGGGAUGACGGUACCGGAAGAAUAAGCACCGGCUAACUACGUG
rnacentral:rRNA from 1 species